CAGCAGUCGCCGCGGUAAAACGGAGGGUGCAAGCGUUAAUCGGAAUUACUGGGCGUAAAGCGCACGCAGGCGGUCUGACAAGUCAGAUGUGAAAUCCCCGGGCUUAACCUGGGAACUGCAUUUGAAACUGUCAGGCUGGAGUCUUGUAGAGGGGGGUAGAAUUCCAGGUGUAGCGGUGAAAUGCGUAGAGAUCUGGAGGAAUACCGGUGGCGAAGGCGGCCCCCUGGACAAAGACUGACGCUCAGGUGCGAAAGCGUGGGGAGCAAACAGGAUUAGAUACCCCGGUAGUCCCUGUCUCUUAUAC
rnacentral:rRNA from 1 species